rnacentral:lncRNA from 12 species
CAUGUAUAUAACUUACAGGGUGGGUGUUCAAAAGUAAGAUUAACUCCAUUAUGGAAAAUGACUACACAUUUCAAAAAUAUAUUAGUCAUUUGGUUAAUGAGCAUCUUUUAAACAUAUAAAAUGAAAAGCUUAAUUUUUCUUGCACAUUUGAAUGAUAUAGUGACCUACCAAGUAAGAACCACUAGUCAGGAAGGAGAAUCAGAACAUAGAGGAGGAGGAUAGGGUAGCCCGUGCCGAGUAAGAAGAAAGGAAAGUCUCCUUCCUUCUUGGAAUGAGGGCUGACCACAGAGAAUGAUGGCCCAGGCUGGUGACUAUGUUACUGGUCAAAACUACACCCAAUUGUACAUAUUGGUAAAUAAAAAUGUGUGCAAUAUGUUAAAUGGAAAAAAAAAGGUACAAAACCAUAUGUAUGGUAUGACUUCAUUUAUGUAGAAGGAAGUAUUUAAACCAAAUACAUAAAUACAUACAUAAUAUGCUUUAAAAAAAAAAACCCCACACCUAAUUGAGUUACUAAUGAAAUCCACAAACUUCAAAAAUUCAAUAUAAGCAACAAUGUCACAUAUUUCUGUCUCCUUACAGAUUCCAUGCAUGAGGACCACCUCUGUUGCUCACAGUGGCCAACUAAUCCAGUUGGAGAUGAUUCAGGCUUUGCAUGGUCAACAUGCAAACUUGAUGAAAGGAACUGGUUGAUGUGCUGAAGCUGACAAAACAAAAAUACAAGAUCAAAGCCCUGCCCACCGGUGGCUUACUAUCCAAUUAGAGAAAAAUCACAAAGCAAAAUUGUGCCUAAUCAACACAAUGGAAGUGGACAAUGAACAUAACGGUUCUAAGAAGAACUACAAAAAGCUUAUUAUAUGAGAGAAAAACUAACACAGCUUGCUGGAGACGCUGCAUGGCACGGCGGUUAAAAACAUGGACAUUGGAGCCAAACUGCCAGGUAUUGCAAUCAGAAGGCAAGCACUUCCUAGCUGAAAGACCAGAGGUAAGUUGCUUAACUGGUCAGUGCCUCAGUUUAUUCAUCUGUAAACUGGGGAUGAUAAUAAAGGCCCAUGACUCAUAG